CACAGGUGUCUGCACGGUGACUCAGUGACUCAGGUCCCAGGUGCCCGGGGGAUGACUCGGUGACUCGGGUCACAGGUACCCGGGGAGCGAUUCGGCGACUCGGGUCACAGGUGCCCGCGCGGUGACUCAGUGACUCAGGUCACAGGUGCCCGGGGGGUGACUCGGUGACUCGGGUCACAGGUGCCUCGGGGGAUGACUUGGGUCACAUGGCCCCACCUGUCACCCCCCCAUCCCCCGUGUCUUGCUGACACAGACAUGUGAGCGGGGCAGCAGCGAUGCGGAGGAGAAUGCGACUGGAGACAAAUGACCGCAGUCACCCGGCUCAGCCUCAGCUCACCCUUUCAGGGCCGCUGCGGGGAGACCCAAGUAACUAGGAUUCUGCUCCCAGGUCCGGGUCGCGUGGGCGCAGGUAUGGAGCGGCACGUCCACGCGGACAGCCCAGCUGCCUGCAGGUGCCCAUGCCCCCGGGACUGUGGCCUCCUCCCUGACGCCCCCCAGCACGCACGGCCUGACCUGAGGCCGCCCCGGGCCACCAGAUCCGGAGUCCUGAGGGAAGGGGUCCUGUCCGCGGGCCUCACUUCUUAUUUAUCAUGAGAGACGCAGAGAGAGGCCGAGACACAGGCAGAGGGAGAAGCAGCUCCAUGCGGGGAGCCCGAUGUGGGAUUCGAUCCCAGGACCCUGGGGUCACAGCCUGGGCUGAAGGCAGACGCUAAACCGCUGAGCCCCCUAGGGAUCGGGCCUCACUUCUUAAUGCCCAGACCCCGCCACGGCUCCUGACACGGGGAACACGGCAGCAAAGGAAGAUGAAUGUACGUAGCAGCCGUUUAUCGGCCUCCUCCUGUGGGGCAGCCGCGCCGAGCUCUUGACACCUUCUCCUUGGAUUGUCAUGAAGCAGGUCCUGACCCUCGGGGGGCCCGGCCGGGGCAGUAGACGGAGCGCCCGGCCACUUGCAGUGCCCGGCAUGAACUCCUUAGGAGCUGAAUUGUCGAUUUUUAUUUUAUUUUAUUUUAUUUUAUUUUAUUUUAUUUUAUUAUUUUAUUUUAUUUUAUUUUAUUUUAUUUUAUUUUAUUUUUUUGGAAUUGUCUAUUUAUCCAUUGUGUCGUGGCGGGGGG
rnacentral:lncRNA from 12 species